rnacentral:snRNA from 11 species
AGCUUUGCGCANCUAAUUGAAAACUUUUCCCAAUACCCCGCCUUGACGACUUGAAAUAUAGUCGGCAAUGGCAAUUUUUGACGGUCUCUACGGAGA